rnacentral:rRNA from 1 species
UACGAAGGGGGCUAGCGUUGUUCUGAAUUACUGGGCGUAAAGCGCGCGCAGGCGGUUCUUCAAGUCAGAGGUGAAAGCCCAGAGCUCAACUCUGGAAUGGCCUUUGAGACUAGAGAACUAGGGUACGGGAGAGGUGAGUGGAAUUCCGAGUGUAGAGGUGAAAUUCGUAGAUAUUCGGAAGAACACCAGUGGCGAAGGCGGCUCACUGGCCCGUUACCGACGCUCAGGCGCGACAGCGUGGGGAGCAAACAGG